GUGUUUGUGGGGAAGUUUAUCCACUCCUGAUUUGCCAGUGAUUGGCUAUGACUUGCCUCUUCUUUUCCAACCAAUGUUGAUGUCAUGAUUACGGGUGGAGCAACAUCACCUGUUUUCUACAAUUUGAGGCGAAGACACCGCCACCCUUGAUUUGCUGUGAUUGACUAUGACUUGGCUCUUCUUUUCCAAGCAAUGUUGAUGCUUGAAAGGUUUAUGCUCUGUCCUGGAUAGUGAUGGUUGGUAGCUGACAUGGUUAUCCUUAAGGACGGUAUUCGGUGAUUAAAAAAAGUUUGUUCUUUUUGCUUGUGCUUGAUAAUGAUCUUAUUAAUCUUUCUGGCUCGAGUAUCAUGGUUCAAUCAUCAUGGCAAUGACUAAUUCAAUUCAAUACUAUACUCAAAAUAUUAGAUUACAUGUAAUGUAUGAGAUAUAAAAAAUAAAGUUACUUUAUGUCUUUCUGCAUUUGUGGAGUUAGAUUAGUUUCUCUGAUGAUUUUUAUUGAUACAGUGAACUUACAACCACUUCUUUCUGAUUGGUGUGGUGUUAUAUAUGUUCA